rnacentral:rRNA from 1 species
CAAGCUACCUUGCUAUGACUUUUGAGAUGUUACUCAGAUGGGUUAGUCGAAACUAAUUAGACCUAAAAAAAGCAGUUAAAUACCUAGUUAAAUUAUAAUAAAAUUAUAAAAUAAAGAAUAACUACACUAACUAUUCAAAUAAAUGAAUAAUCAUAUCAAUUUUCUUUUCAUUUAUUAAUUUAACCUUUGAUUUUUCUUACCUUUUUAAGAUAAGCUUUUUAAGGUUAAGAAGAUUUAUUAAGUUUAUUUAUCGCGGAAGCGGUAAAUUUAUAGUUAAAUAUAAAAAAUAAAAUACUCCUUACUACUAAGCCCUACCAAAGGUAGGCAAUAAAUUAGUAAAUAAAUAAAUAAAUAGAAAGAGACAUAUAGAUAAUAAACCAAUAUUUUUAUUAUUUAUAAUGUUUUACCUUAGUUAAAGAUAGACUUCGCGGCGCUUUCCCCCAAGCUGAAUUUCUCCCCAGCGACAGACGGUUAG